GAGAACCUGUAGUGAAAAGUGGGGUCAUUUGGGAGGGGAGCAGCUGUGGCUUCAGUCGUGAAACAGGAGGCCACAGUUUUAACAUGCAGAGAUGUGCCAGUCCUCCAGAUCCUUGUGUGUUGGUAUCCAGAAGGUCCUCAGGGCUGGCCUAACGCUUGGAGUUGCACUUUGACUGGAGGCUGGUGCUGGGCACACCAAAGGAGUGUGCUGCUCAUCUGCAGGUGAGCAAAGGGGGUGAGCUCUCGGUUUCCUUGUGAGCCUUUGGGAUUGCAGCUUGCUCCACGCUACCUGUGCUGUCUGUAUGACUGCCUCAGAAAGGUGAUAACCUUUUAUAUGUGUGCUUCAGUGUGGUUCCCAAAACUGUGUCUCCUUCAUAGCAACCUCCCUGUUAAGAUAUAUUUGCUGUGAAGGAUGAUGAGACUUAAAACUCCAAUUACGAGAGGAAAUGAACUAGAACUGCUUUCUAAGUGUGCUUUAUAAUUGGAAGACGUGAUUUCAGUACAACCUUCCUAAGGUCCUUGCACUAGCUCUUGGUCUGGUGACCCAAUGUGACAGUGACCUUGUUUUCAUGGAUCGACCCCUUAGCAGCGUGGUCCCUCACCAAGCUGCACUUGGAUCAGAGGGAACAAUGCACAUGUACAGGGAUGGUACGUAUGGCUGGAGCUCAGUUGCUCUGCUAUUCAAAGUUUCUUUGGGUAGAAAUACUGAUUUAUGUUUACCUGGCAACUUUUCUACCUGCUACGUGUCCUGGUUUAAUCAUAUGCAGUUACAUCUGAUCCCUGGUGGGCUGUCAGAUGUGCAGGUUGCUGCACGCAGUGCCUUGGAGGGUGGUAGUGAGCACAAGUGACACCUUAAUAAGGGUCUCUGGAGACACAGCUUCAGUACUAAGCUGCCCCCAUCUAACACCUUUUGCUAGUUUAUGCUUUAUUAGUCACCCAUUGCUUCUUUGAAAACAUUGUUUUUAAUACUCCUGCUCUGGGCUGAGUUCUCAGAAGCCCUGUUAUGUUUUGCUGAUGGUGGCUGCCUUUUCAUUGCCCAGGUGGGAGAAGUGGGACUUGAAAACCCAAUCAGCAUUAUCUGAGCUUAUCUGCUUGUGAUGGGGGGACUUAAGCAGAUCAAGAUAUUAAUAUUAAUCAUGUGUAGAUGCAGAACACAGGCUCUGGAGGCAGAACAGAUCACAGGCACCUGGGCAAUUCUCCCAGGUAUCAGCCACCCGUACCUAUGUGCACAGCCACCCCACAGGAGAUGGGCUCCAGGGGGUGCACAGCACCCAGAGGUGUGGGGAGAAGAGUGGGGUGACAGCAUAAGCACAGCACAGGGAGCUGGGGCUCGGGACUUGGUAAGGCUCCUUUGUUGGAGCCAAUCUCUGCCUGCCCCUGGGCUGGUUUUGCUCCAAGCAUUCUCCUCUUUCAUGGCAUAUAUCAGUGUGGUUUGUGUGGUGGCUGGUGAAGGGGCUGCCUUCCUUUCCUCAGGGGCAAUAGGGAGAGCCCGGUGCGUCUGCUGGCUGAGCGCAGGCUGGGCAAAGCAGUCACUGCUGCCAAACGGGAUUUUGUCCCCAUGCCUCCAGGGGUUAGGCUAGGGUAUGACGUUCCCCCUGGCCUGUUCGUGUGCUUAAUGAGCUAACUUAUCUGCCAUCUUCCCCAUGGCAGAUGGGGGCUCUUCAGGAUUAAUUAAGGAUCAUAAGUGUGACCUACUUACCAAGCUGCUGCUACUGUUACCGAAGCUCUGGGAGCCAUCAGGCUGAGAGAGCUUCUUACCUCUCUCUGCUCUGGUUACUUGCUUGCUCUGUCCUUCUGGGACCGUUGCUGAGCCCCAGGUGGGAUCGUGUUGCACCUGUUUCAGUAACAGAUAAUCUCCCCUGACUGUUGGGUAGGGAGCUGCAAGCUUCCUGCAAGCAGCUCGGAGGGGAGACUGGGGAUGCUGGCCUACAUCUUGCAGUGUUUUCUCCUGUUUGGGGGGGGCUGAAAGUGGGGAGAGAUCAGCUGCAAGAUUAGGGUGAGCAAUGCUGAAGACAAUGGCUUGGGAUGGUCUGGUUCUGUGCCUGAAACCAUGCUGAAGGGGUAUCCCAAGGUCUUCCUUCCUCAAGGCUACCCAAUUCCUUCUCAUUUCCAGUUUACGCUUCGCUGCAGCAACCCUGUAGGAAUGCUUUCUGCAAAGGAGCAGAAACGACUAGAGAAUGAGAAGCAAAUUAAGUUCAGGCUCUUCUAAUACUGUUUGUUGCCUGCCUGAAUUUCAGCCAAGGCACUGUUCCGCCUGGGAAUGACUCAGUCCUGUAUCCCUGUGGUUCACUGCUAGGAGACCCUUCCUCCAGCUGGGGAUGGGUUGCACCACGAGGACCACUACGGCAACCUAUCCCCUCCAAAUCUUCCUGCUCUCUCCUUCCCUCCCUUUGCUGCUUGUUCAAUGAGUUUGCCCUGCACGGCGGGUUGAAUCUCGAGCAGUAAGGCCACUGCAUGGGCUCGCAGCCAUGUGCACAGGGGCUGCACGUGGCGCAUUUGCUGCCCAUGUGAGGAUGGCUGAUGUUCCCAAGACUCUCCUCGUCCCCCCCCAUGGAGAUGGUCCUUCACUAGCCUGUUGUUUUGAGCAGGGUCUGGUGGUCUCCCCAGUGGGAUCCCAGCAGCUCCCACUGAUUUCGGAUGGGAAGAGCUGGCUCUCAAGCUGAAUGGGACCCCUGGGAAGCAGCAUUUUGCUUUGUCCUUGGAAGCACGCACAGCAGGGGAAUUGUGUUUGGCUUUUCUCCUCUGCCUCAGAAAAAAUCUCUGAUGUUCCAGUGACCUGCUUAUUAUGUAGGUCAUCAUCAGCUGAAAGGAAAAAACAAUUUCAGAAGUAGGAGAAAUCCAGCAGGGCUCUUCCACUGAGCAGAUCCUUCUGCAAAAACACAGAGAGUUGUGGUGGCAGGCAGCCUGGCCUCUCCCCUCUCCACAUGCUCUGCUCAGGAUGAUGGGGGAGCAAAACUGCAGCUGGAGGGAUGUGUGAUACCCUGAAAGCAGGCAGACUCCCCAGGAUCCAGUGUCUGCUGGGAGACAGGACAGCCCCACUAGAAAAAGGAGACAUGGAAUAAGCAGAUGCCUCUGGAUGCCAAUAGUAAAACUGGGACCUGGACCAAAAAUCCUCUCUGCGUUGUGCCAGUGCUUUUAGUCUGGGGCUGCUCCGCUUUGCCUGCAGCAGAGCUGCCACUUUGUGAUGCUCACUGAGAAGAGAGAAAGCCCUGAGAGGGAACUGGAACCUAGGCAAGGGACAAAUUGCUGUGUGGCUGGGAGGAGGUUUGGUGAAGUCCAGCAUCACUCAUACUUACCUGUGAUGCAGUAACUCUUACUACCCCUCACUAUCCUCUUUUCCUUCACAAACCCCCCAAAUAUCAGCUGGAGACCCCUGCGCCCUGGCUACUUCUUCCUUGGGGACGUGUGUUUGUGUGUUUGUUGGUCAGGCAGGGAGGCAGGCAGCUGCAGCCCUUUCCUGUGCAGGAGCACCGAUGUGCCUCCCCAUCCUACUUGCUCACCGAGGGAUUUCUCCUUUCCUUCAAAAUGUGUAGGAACGUGAUGUGUUUGAGACAGACAGACUUGAUAGGAGAGGCUGAAACCACUGAAAGGCCUCACUAGUUAUCAGAAAGGUGAAGAGGAGCAUGGGGAGGUGGGUGUGCAGUGAGCAGAAGGCUCUGCCCCCUCUGCCUUGGUGUUGGCCAGGUCCCUUCACUGGGUCUCCAUCACAGCCAUAUCUCACCGCAUCCACCCCUGCAAAGCCUGAGUGUUUGAAGCCUCUCCAGCUGCAGGAGGCUCCUGGCACAGACCUUGAAGGUCCAGCUGAUCUUUUCCCAGAACAUGGUUUCUUGUGAAGCUGCUUUCUUUCACAUGUGCCAGCUCCUGCAGCCGUUACACCUCAUUUUGUACUGGCAUCUGCUGUGGUGUCUAGAUAAAAUGCACACACUUUUUCUGACUGGACUGCCCUUCCUCUUCAGCAUCUCAAUUUUUGUGGUCUCUAGCUCAUGCAGAUCUCUCCCCAGACCUCAGUUCCUCUGCCUGGUUGAUCCUUACCCAGACCAUGGAGGGUUGUCUCUGACUCCUGAGACACCAACCUGGCAAUGCGAAGCAGUGAAGAAACCUCCUCCUCCUAUUUUCAGCUCCUCUAAGGAAAGCACCAACGUACUUGCUCGUCUGCCAGGUGAAUCACACUUUCUCCCACUAUCUGAGCAGACUCAACUAACAUGCAGCAUGCUUCCCCUUGGCUCGGGCAGGCUGCUGUGGCUCUAGGAGAAAGUCUUGAGGACUUCUCCUGUUGCUUGUAGCUGUCUCACCCAAGGGUAGGCAGCCCUUGUCUCAUCACACCACGGUAGUGGAGAGAAGUCAAGGUAGGAAGCAGAACAGCAGUGGCAGCUUCAACAGAAUGAUAUUCUUUCACCCACAGUAAGAAGACAUUUCUUGUGCUUUGCAUGCCCUCGUGGAGCAGCUCAGGGCACUGACGUGAUCUGCUGGUGGACCAAAGACAGCUGGGACAUCUUACUUGAGAAGCAGAAUUAGGGUAUGCUCCUAGCACAAGAUCUUUGCAGUUAGGCAGUGAUCGGUGCCCUGGAGCUGGGAUUGUCACGUCAGCCUGGUGGAUCCUUGCACAAUGCGGUGGCUGUGCACAAUGCAGACAGCUGGAGCUGUCAUGUGCUCACGGUGAAAACACAGAGGAUAGCUCUUAUCUUUGCUUGGAGGAAGGAUUUGAUUAGAAACUGUCUCAUAAAUGUGUGGUUAUUGAAUGCGUUGCUCAUUUACUAUAAAUGAGCCAUCUCCAUAAACGUGCCAAGAGCAUCUGUCCUCAGCAGCCAGGCAGCUGCUCUGAAGGAAGGCAGAUGAGUCUCCCUCGUCACAAGCUUUUCCUCACUGAGCUUUUUCUGAAUCACUCCCUGCAUGGAGCAAUUCUCCAACAACAUUAAAUGCCGCAGCCAGGGUGAGUCAAGCAGAUCUUGUCAAGGCUGCCUUAUUUUUUUCCUCCUUCUGUUUUUAUUUUAAAUCAAGCUUCAAAUCCUCUGUGUCACAGGGUUUGGUGAUGCUUCUAGCACAAUUGAUGGCAACAAGUAGCUACCCAGGAAUGGUAUGUGUUGUAUGGCAGCCGGGGAGAACCUCCUGUUCCCAACAUCUUCAGCCUGUUUGGGGCUUGUUUCCACAAAAUUGGAGAACUUAACAGAAGGACGGUGGGGCUGUGAAAUAAAUCAUUUUAGCCAUUGUUUAAGUGAGCUUACUUAUGUCUCUCCCAUUGUGUCCACAAGUUGGUGAGGCCAUAAAUGCAAUGAGGAGUGUCUUAACUCAAGUUCUUGAGUGCGAAGUGAGGCAACCUGGUGUUGUAAUGAAUGGUGAUGCUUUCCCAAGGGGUUAACGGGUUCUAUGUCCAGACAUAAACCAGUCUCAAAGUGUUGGAGGGCAGGUUGAGAUCUGUGAGAGCAGGCUGGGGUUCUUGCCCAUCCUUGGGAAACAUCUGGUGCUGCUCAGGAUAAGGGACAAGGCUAUUUGGCCCUUGGACUCAGCUUCUUGUGAUGGAGGAGCUGGCAAUGCUCUGCGUAGCCUGGGGCUCUGUGCAGCUCUCUGUUGCAAGAGCAUAUCACUUACUUGCUCAUCUUCAGUUAGUUUAUCUCAAGAUAAGUUGUGAUGUUUUUCAAUGCAGGUUUUCACCCAAACCACAGGAUAACAGUUUAACGGUUGCUGUAGCCCCACGUGUUGCCAAACUGUAGUGACCACGCACCGCCUGCUUGUUCACAAGAUAUUUCCAGAUACCUUCAAACAAAGCAAGCAGGCCACCUUCCCCACCAAGCCUACCUCAAGAAGGAUGGCAUGGCUUAAUUAAAACCAGACAAAGCCAUAACGAUGGCAGCCUCUCGCCGGCCACUGACUUCUCUGUGAGCUCAGCCCAGUGCAGCCACAGCAGCUUGGAGUGGGACCAUGCAGGGAAAGUGAAAUUUGUUUGUGCCUGUGCAGGAGACCCCCUUGCAGGCUGUUAUCAGAGGCUUUGGUACUUGGUGCUGCUGCUUUCUUUAGGGACGUAAAUAAAUGCUUGCUAGUAUGCUUAGUCCAGAACUGGCUGUGCUAGGGGGGAAUAAUUAACUAAAAUAACUGGGAGUAGGUAAGGAUGAAAUCUGAGGACAAAUCUGUGCAAGUUUUGUUUGUUUGUUUGUUUUUGUUUUUGGAACACUGCAUCUUAAAGCAGGGAGCGGCUCGUACACCGCUUGCAGCUACACCUCCUUUGUCACUACCUAAAAAUCACCACUUUUACUUUGAUCUGUGCUAGAGGAAAACAGUUCAGCAGGGACCAAAAACCUUGAUUUAUAUCAGCCCAUUACACAAAUGUGCCCUCAGGUGGCUCUAGGUGAAUCCCAGGCUCAAAUUCUUCACGGUCCUUUGUGGCAUGGCUUGUGUGGGCCUGCUUCUCUUGGUACCCAGGGCUGCUGCUUCUCUGGAGUUAGCCUGCUGCAGUCAGUCCCAUUACACAUGACGGUGUUGUCAGACAAACGAGGAGGUGAUGACUUCACCUGUGUUAUAACCUCUGCCCUGGGUUUCUCCUAGCUCUAUCUGUUGUGAGUCACCUUUUAUAGACAAAUGCAUGCAAACAAAUAGCAAAGGCAUACAGGGUAAUGCCAGUACUUAUACUGGUGUUUGGAUAGCAGGCUGUGUUUGCAGAGCAGAGAGAGCAGUUGCACAGUCCGUGUGACUGGUUGCUCACUUCUAAGAAAACCAGUCCAGUAUCUGUUUAUCCGCCUGCUGUACAGCUGUACUGCAAUGACCUGACUCUCCAUAGUUGCUUUUGCUAUGUAAGUCUUUUGAUUUUCUUCCUGUGUUUGAACACACAUCUUUCCACCUCCUCUGCUGCAUAGAAAGAUUAAAUCAAAAGCUGUAAGAGCAUCACAGCUGUACAGCUGUAUUUUCUUGGGAAUGGGAGGGAUGAAUAAAAGAUAUGUUUAACUUGAAAGAAUUUAAUGAGGUUACCAGUGAAUUUUGUUUAAGACUCUUCUCUGUGCUCUAAACCCAGAGCAAGCAAUGAGUGGUAAUAUUACUGGCAUAGCAGCAACCAUGACUCUGCUCGAGAUCCAUGUUGGUGCCGCACCACCCUGAACAAAGAUAUUCACCCAUGUAAGAUCUUACGGUGUGGUUGGCACCAGAAAUUCUGCCAUAUAAUUCUGUCAUCUGAAGGUGAGAUGAGGGUAUAUCUUUAAGAUAGCAAAGAAUUGUACCCAUAACUGUUGAAUAAACAUAUAUAAAGCAGUAAAAUCACGCUUUUGCUGUUUGGUUGCAAUCGUGAUAGCAAGGCAGCCCACUCCAGAGGUGGGGCAGAGAUCCUGCCCCAGUGCAGUCCUGAGCUAAGAUGGCAGGCAAAAGGUAGGUACAGCUGCUUGUUGGGCUAGCAGAGGAGAGUUGGACAUCUUUGUUUAUAAUUCAAGUAAUCAGUAAUGGAAGUUUUUCAAACUCCCCUUCCUUGCGUCGUUUUUACCCAUGAUAUCAAUGAUUGCGACAUCAGCAUGACUAAUCCCAUGUAUGGGAUUAAUAUAAGAUGUCUGUUUUGUCCGUGGUUGGACUGUUUGUUUGCACAGUGUUGUAAUACUUCACAAACAAGAAGCAGAGCAGGCCCAGUGCAGAAAUGUCUGCUCUUGUCAGAGACAGUGGCUUGUCUUCUGCUCAGGCUCACCAGAGAUGGAAGGAAGAAUUAAAUGCAUGGGACACCUUGAGAAAAAAGUGUGUAAAAUCCCACUGCUCCAGGUGAGGACGCUUUACUUUGUGCAAACAAAAUUGAGCUUCAAACACUUGGUAAGAAGCGCAGUGUUAUGUCUUGAUUCUCAGCUCACUGACUGCAAGAAACGAGUCAGACCAAAGGUUCAUCCAUCAGACGCUAAAGGAUGUCUUGCUGGCGUGCACUAUACUCGUGGAAAUCCCCUGAUAGAGCCCAGGACAUGAGAGUGCUGGGUGGUUCAAGUUGGGCCCUUUCCCUCUGCCUUCUGGUUGUGAUCCUUUGUGGUGUGCUCGGGUUCGUGACAAGGACGAUUCUGCAUAACUAUGAAAGCAAAAGGCUGGAUGUUCUUAGCACGAAGUUCUCCUACACCCUGAAAUCAGACGCUGGUGAUCUUCAGGAGAGUACAAAAUACAGAAGGGUGUGUAAUAAAAACAGCAGGAAUUGGAAACAAUUCGCUGGCACCUUAUCUAUGAUUAUUUAUAAUAGUUUUCAGAAACUGUGCACACUUGGCAUAGGUACAGACUUCUGUGAAUGAACCAGUACCCAGGGCAGGCAGUACCAUUCCAUGGAGAACCACGGAAAUACCUCAUAUGGGACAGGUUUCUGUGGGUCACUGCCUCAUUUUGCUCUUCUGCUUGUACUUGCGCAGGUUCAAAGUUACUUUGAGCUUGAAAAACAGGCAGCAGCCACAUAGCUCUUGAUCUGGUGUAAAUAGGAAUGCAGUUGUGUUGGAGGCUGUGAAGCCUGCUCAUGUUAGCUGAGGUCUGGCCCUUCUGUGCUGGGGUGCUCAUUAAAGAAACCAAGCAAACCUGAGGAGCAGUUGAGUUGAACUCCCUGUGUUCUCUGGGCUGCUUGGAGCAUCCCAAAGCCCAGCACAUAUUUUCCAUUUGGAAAAAAUCCACAGGCUGUGGUAGCAGGCUGUGUAGAUAAAUAUCUACUUAUUUAGCAGGCUAAGCAAGAGUGUUUGUGCUUGUCUGCCUUUUAGGCUGGCCUGGAUUUUGUCAUUGUGAUCUGCCCUUCCUUCCCAGCUACUUCCUUCUGCACUUCAGUAAAGCUGGAUGUGGCGUCACACUGGUGUUUGUCUUUGGAGGAGUAAACAAAACAAAAGGCCAAGAGGCAGCUACUUAAAACACAUUCCUCUGCUGUGACUGGAAAAAAAAAAUCUCUUCUUUAGAUAUAGGCAUCCACUGUUUGCAUUGCUCACCCUCCUGGCAGGGGUUAUGGGCUUUGUCUGCCUCACUUAGUUUGAGUCUAGCCUGUCUAAUCUUUCUGCUCUCUCUAUUUUUGAGAUGCUUGAUGUGCUGCCCUUUCCUCCCACAGACCAUGAGUUACAGCUGCUUCCCACAGCUCCAGGAGCUGAUAAAAAGAAAAAAAAAAAAAAAAGAUCUGGUACAAUGGAUCAAGGUACAGUGAUAGAGAAGAACGCACUUGGUCUUGAUAGGGCUUGCUUUAUCUGCCAGGCACAUUGCAGACCUGACAUUGAGCUGAGAGGCAGUGGCAAAGGAAUGUGUCUGCUCUCCAAGAGGGAGGGAACCUGACCAAGAGAUACAGGGCUGCUUGGCUUGUAGUGGAAAGGAAAUUGCUCUGAGGUGCUGCAGGGGACGGUGACUUCUCCUGCACCUUAGCAGGAGCACGUCUCAAACCGAAGACAGUGACAGCACUGCUCUUUGACUUCUCCAUCUUCCUGUGACAAUCAGCUCCUGCUUUCCCAUCUGUGCUUUCCCAGGAGAAAAAGGAAUGAGUCAGUUCCUGAAGGCAGAGUUAGGAGAGGUGGCUGCAAUCUCUGGGUCCCGGUGCUCCACCCCGAAGGCUUUGUCCUGCUGGCAGGUACUGCACAUUGCUUGCUGUUCCUUGGCUUGUGUAAACACUCGGGGAACUUCAGCCUUGCAGCAAACUUAAAUUGCUGAGGAGUUUCUGGAUGUGCAGUGAAAGCCAAAAGUUCAAUAUAGACCCUUUUCAAGGGUUUGAACACGUAAGGAAUGGGCUUGUUGGUUGAAUCACUGUUGCGCAUUGGAGAUUGAAAUUAAUUGAAACUCUCUGCUCCUCUCAUUUCCCAGUACUCAUACUAUUAAAGCUCUAUUGCAGUGCAGUCCAGUGGGUUUUGAAGGACCCAGGUGUAGAAAUAAAGCGUUCUGUAUGGGAAAUGUUUGUGCUGCUGCCGGUGAAUCUCCCUCUGUUGCCAAGCUCUUAAUUUUCUGGCAUGAUAGUGGCAAGUCUGUUUUUAGCACUGUUUCCGAGCUCAGCUGGUGCUUAGGACAGGCUGCUUCUCUGCAUCACUCCUGCUGACAUGAAGAGGGUUCAUGAUACACAAAUGCUUGCUGUGAUGUGUUUCAGCAUGGGAAACUUCUCUCCUUGCUCAUUAGAAGGGUUUGCAACCCUUUUGCAAAGCUAGUUUGUUACAGGGGAGCUUUUUCAGCUCCAGAUCUUGGGGCAUACGGGGAGUCCUUGUUCGCAGGUCUUUAGGUUCUGGCCUGAAAGAAUUUUAUCAGCGUUGUGCCAGUGCCCAGAGCAUUGGGUCAAUAUAGCCUGUGUCAAAGACAUACAGCUGGCUCAGCAAGAGCUGCUGCCAGCUCUUCGAACCCAGGGAGGGUAUUUUGGGGCAAGCUUCCUCAUGCACCCCCUUCCCCUUCUUGUCUAAUAUAAGGCCAAACAUAUUCCUCCUGGUUAAACUCCUCUGAGGCUGGAAAAGUCAAAGCGGGAAGGUCACAACACAGCCAGUCCUCAGGAGAAAGUGCUCUGAAAGGUGGGAGCGCUCCGAAAGGUCGGAGCUUCAUCCUGGUAUGCUGGGCUCCUCUAAAGGACUGAUCUGCAGCUCAGAGUGGGGGGAGAUGUUGAUCUUCCACUAGCUCUUAGGCUUCUCCAGCAGCACAAAUAUAAUCAGUGAUGGGGAGACUAGAAAUUACAGUGCAGUCCUGCAGUGUUUAGAGGUGGGAGAAUUUUGCUUGAUUUAAAAAAUAAAAAUGCAGCCAAGGCUUUUGAGAUAUUUCUCCAGUGGAUCACAAGCUGGCCAACAACUAUAUGAAAAUAAUUCUUUCUGUUGCUUGUGCCACCUUUCAAAUUGCUGUAGCUUGGUUGUCAGGGAAGGGGAUCUACUGUAAAGAUACAACACAAACGUCAAAGGAAGGGAAAACACUGUUCUUAUAGUGCUGUGACCUUAAUGUUCCUGCUUUCCCUUUAGUGGUGAUAGCAACACAUCCCAGCACAAGCACGUGUUGUUAUGGUACCGCUAAGAGAGGGGAAAGAAGCUGCAGGGGAGAUGGUUAGGAGGUUGCUACGGAGUUAAUGCUCAUUUGAGACAAGGCUGCCAUGACCUCCUGCUAAUAGAUGUUCUGUUGAAUCUUUCAUUUCAGUAUGCAAAGGCAGCAAACGCAACAGAUGCUUGGUUUUGUUCUGUAGUCUCCCCUGGUUGUGCUGAACUGUUCUUUCCCUCUAUGGUGGGCAGAAAGGAGAGCAAACAGCAUCCCUAGGUCCUCUGGAGGUGCAAGACCACUGGUGCAUAAAGGUUUACAGCAAGGAGCAGGCUUGUGCUCAUCUGUGCUCACCUGAUCAAACUCAGUGCUCCCAACAGGAGCUCCUGCAGAAAGCUCGACAUCCUCCUACCCUCUGUUAAUCUGCAUGCUGAGGACUCAGGUGGUGCUGGAUGGUGCAGCAUUACCCACUCUGGCCAGUCCUGUCCCACCAACAGGGUCUCUUCAGUGAUGGCCCUGUGAGCAGGGAACUCUUUGCCCCAGAGGUCUCCACUACAUUCCUGUGCACUCAGCACACCUUUGCCUGGUGCUGAACUCCGUGCUGUCUGGGUUCAUGCAUUCGGGAGUUCAGCCAAGUCUGAACUCUGUUCACCCCUGUAGGAAACAACAAAGUUCAGCGACUGAAAGCAGCUGCGUGUACUUGGUCAGUGACAUCAGCGGAGAGACUCCAUUUGCUUAGCAAGCACCUAAAUUUAAAUAAAACAAACGCCUCUGGAGCCAGUGUUUGGGGCUAGCCUGUAAUGUGGAGAAGAAAGGUCUUAUUCAUGCCACAGAAGGGGGAAACCCAUGGACAAAAGAGGUGUAUGUAUCCAGAAGGAGCAGCUCCACAUCUGGGGUCACCUAUAUUAGGAAAUAUUUUUAAGGUGGUUUUGAUUUACAUUCAUACAACAGAUUUGAAGGUCUUACUUUGCCUUAAGAUGCUAGAAACAGUGCAAGUGGUCAGGGACAACUUCACAGGUGACCAGAAAGAUGCUAAUGAGAUUCUGCCCAGAUUCAGCUUGCCAGGAUUUCUCCCUUCUGAAUCUUUCUGCUCCUUUAGGCCAGUUCUGGCAAAAGGCAUGUCUGAACUCCCUUCCCUCUAUAUCUCUUGAAUAACUGGCCGAAAGCACCGAGACCUUCACACAAAAAGUGACAGUGUAUCCUGCUGGCAUUCCAGGGUAAGCUGUAUCCCUGUGUCAGGAAGUCUCUGUCCCCUUGUCACCCUUUCCUCGUCAUUUGAACUAGAUGAAUGAGCAUGAUAAGCUCCCCCAACUCAGUCAACCUUUUCUGGUUAUUGCUACAGUCAGCUCAUAUGACCUUCCUCCCUGUUUUCAAGGUUCUGAUAACGAGUUUCUAAGGACAGCCUAGUGACCUUUGGCUGAGCUUCCUCUUCAAACUCUGCUGGCUUUUGCUUCAUUGUCUAGUUGUAACCCAGCAGCAAAGAUCAGUUCUGAUACAGACAGAGCCUUCUCCCCUCUCCUUCCCCCACUUAACCUUCACAGGCCAAAUCUCUCCCAGUUUGCUUGAGCAAAUUUGCAAGUGGGACAGUGAGAGAUUUACUUGAGGUAAAGGUUUUGUCCCACUGUCAUUUUUCUUAAUUCCCUAAGGAAGGAAGGUAAUCAGAAAGGCAGGUGGGAGGGAAAAAAACAAACAAACAAAAAAACAC